rnacentral:rRNA from 1 species
UACAGAGGGUGCGAGCGUUAAUCGGAAUUACUGGGCGUAAAGGGUGCGUAGGUGGUCAUUUAAGUCAGAUGUGAAAACCCUGGGCUCAACCUAGGAAUGGCAUUUGAUACUGGAUGACUAGAGUUCGGAAGAGGAAAGUGGAAUUUCAGGUGUAGCGGUGAAAUGCGUAGAUAUCUGAAGGAACAUCAGUGGCGAAGGCGACUUUCUGGUCCGACACUGACACUGAGGCACGAAAGCGUGGGGAGCAAACAGG